rnacentral:tRNA from 1 species
GGAAAUGUGCCUGAAAUUAAGGGCCUCCUUGAUAGGGAGACUCACAGGGGUUAAAACCCCCUCAUUUCCU